UACGUAGGGGGCGAGCGUUGUCCGGAUUUAUUGGGCGUAAAGAGCGUGUAGGCGGCCAGGUAGGUCUGCUGUGAAAACUCGAGGCUCAACCUCGAGACGUCGGCGGAAACCAUCUGGCUAGAGUCCGGAAGAGGAGAGUGGAAUUCCUGGUGUAGCGGUGAAAUGCGCAGAUAUCAGGAAGAACACCAGUGGCGAAGGCGAGUCCCUGGACAACACCUGACACUGAGGCACGAAAGCCGGGGGAGCAAACAGG
rnacentral:rRNA from 1 species